UACGGAGGGGGCGAGCGUUGUUCGGAAUUACUGGGUGUAAAGGGUGCGUAGGCGGCUCGUUAAGUCUGAUGUGAAAUCCCUCGGCUUAACUGAGGACGUGCGGAAGAAACUGCAAGGCUCGAGUCCGGGAGAGGGGGGUGGAAUUCCCAGUGUAGCGGUGAAAUGCGUAGAUAUUGGGAGGAACACCGGUGGCGAAGGCGGCCCCCUGGACCGGUACUGACGCUGAGGCGCGAAAGCGUGGGUAGCAAACGGG
rnacentral:rRNA from 1 species